rnacentral:rRNA from 1 species
CUGCCCAGUGACUCAAUUCAACGGCCGCGGUAUCCUAACCGUGCGAAGGUAGCGUAAUCACUUGUCUUCUAAAUAAAGACUAGUAUGAAAGGCAUCACGAGAGCUAAACUGUCUCCCCCCUCUAAUCAGUGAACCUAAUCUCCCCGUGAAGAAGCGAGGAUUAAUAUAUAAGACGAGAAGACCCUGUGGAGCUUAAAACAUCAUAACACCUGCUAGAUUUUUUCCCCAUUCAGAUUUCUCACCCCAGCAUGCUGAUUAUAAGUUUUUGGUUGGGGUGACCGCGGAGAAAAAUUUAUCCUCCACAAUGAAAGGAGCCCCCCCCCAACAAUAAGUUACAACUUUACAUUUCAAUAAAUUGACAUCCAUUGACCCAAUACUUGAUCAACGAACCAAGUUACCCCAGGGAUAACAGCGCAAUCCACUUUAAGAGCUCCUAUCGACAAGUGGGCUUACGACCUCGAUGUUGGAUCGGGGUAUCCUAGUGGUGCAGCAGCUACUAAA